UGGUGUUCUGCUUUUCAACUCCUAUUACCUGUGAGCCGUCUGCAGGGGGAAGCGUGCUCUCGACACUCGCACAGACACUCCCACACAAUAAGCACCACCCAGAAGCUCUCAGCUCUCCUCCCCUCUGGUGCUAAAUAAACUCUGCUAAUCCCCGCUGUGAUUAAUCCUGCUCCACCGAUAACAGCCCCCGCAGGAAGACUCUCCUUGGCUGCCUUGUUUGGGGGUAAAACAAUGUAGCUGCAUUCUUAUUUCGCCUUUCUGUGAGAGACUGGUAUGACAUUCUGCUUCAGGCUUAUUCUUAACGCAGACACACGGCUCAGCUCCGAGAGGAGCUCCUGAAGCUGCCCUGCCCCGACGGUCUGGAGCCCGACGGCGAGGAUUUCUCCGAGCGGAGCUCCGCCCUCAUCCUCAAGGAGCUGUCCAGUCAGGACGCAGAGAAGCCCGGCGGCAGUCAGGGCGGCCACUGCAACGAGGGACAGCUAUGAGUCCCCCCACCCCUCCCCACCCCCCCUCCGUGCCCAGCAUCCACACACCCCCCCCUCCCCCCCUCCUCCCCAUGAUGAUUAUUACUCUCAAAGACUCGAUGGCUUCCGAGCACAAGCCACCACUUUGUCAAUAUUUGUAUGUAAAGAUCUACUAGCAGAAUAGCGGGGUGUAGGAGACCAGAAUGAGAUGAGAAGAACAAUGGAGUACGCUUCGCCCUUAUUGAAAACUUUUAUUUACCUGUAAAAGAGUGUAAACAUUUUGUGCUUUUUUUCCAAUUGUGAAAUAACCACUGAUUGGUAUGUUAUUAAACUUGUUUAUGUAUACAUAAUGGCAGAGAAAAAACAAAUUAUAUAAGGGAAACUACCUUUUAGAGAAGAAUGUUUACUGAAUGUUAAUUUCCCCUUUUUCUUUUUGACUGUUAGAGUGAGAAAACAGUUGUAACCAAGGACAUUGGUCAUUCUUUAAAGUUACCAUUUAAAAAAAAUGAGCGAAUAGGAAAACGCACACGUAACAAACCUGAGAUAAAGAGCCCCUACGGUCAUCUUUUCUUUUGAUUUCAUCUUAGGCUCAUAUCUUCUCCAAUAAAUGCUGAGAUGGAAAUUCUUAAUUGCUAUGUUCCCUUUUACAGGCUCCAAAUUAAAAAGCACCAUGCUCUGGAUAAACAUUUGUUGCCUCUCAGAGUCGCAUGGGAAAUUUGUUUUGAAGGCAUUUGUACGUGUGUUUUCUGUGCGUGUGCAACAAUCCUCAGUGAGAUACAAAGCUGUGAUGUGCCUUUGAUCUACACCAAAUACUCCAACCGAGUACCUUUACUGAUUCCUUUGCUUUCCCUACACAAUUAUGUUCUGCUCCGUCUGACACAAGAGUUGCUUUGAUCUUUUUUUUUAUUUUGUUGAACUUCAGUGAACAAAUGCACUUUCUAUUUUACCCACUUCUUAGGACGGCCACAUUCUCCUUUUGCUAGGACAUUAAAUGGAGCUUGAAAGUAUGACUGACUGUGCGAAUGCUUCUUUGUGCGUGUGACAGGCCGUCAGCAGAGACCAGAGACACAAACACACAAACCGGCGUGAUGAAAAGUCCCCGUCCAUCUCCAUCCGUCAUUGGCACCGAUUUCUAGUUUUCUAAAAGUAUUGGGACAGAUUUGUCGGGUGUGUUCAGCUGCCUCUUCUGCUAGUUCCUUCUCGGUGCAUCUUGGAAGGAUCCCCAGCCUGGUUUAACAAACUAAACCUCUACAGUUUAGCAGUUGAAGGCCAAUGCAUUGAAGAUGUUCUAAUAACUUCACAUAUUCACGUCUAAAUAAAUGUAUGUAUUCUGUUGGCUGAGAAUUCCCAGCUAAAUCGGAGAGAAUACCUCGUGUGUCAACGUCCUCGGUACAAAGCGAGUGACAUGACGGCUCUCCGGGUCUGUGGAUGGUGUUUAAGAAACGUACCUUCCACCCAAACAACUCUCCAAUCUCUAAGACCCAAAGCGUUCACUCGAAAGGUAUUGCACCUGUAAAUAUUAGUAUCAUACAUUUUAUUUGUAACCAACUUGUCAUUCAGCAGAUCAGAGUGCAGAUCAGAGUUGUUUCAGCUAUACUCAAAGCAUAGCUGAAACAACACAUUUAAAGUGAUCGCUGACUGAUUGAACACAUUGAAAUACAAAACGCCUUCCUGAAGAAAAAAGGUCCAACGUGUGUUUCCCCUCACGUGGUCAGAGAGACUUUUCCAUAAGCGGCCCGGUCGCCGUCUACGGACCUGGUUGGGGACCCGGAGCAGCGCGCUGUUCUGGAUCGGGUGAAGGUUUGAGGAGUGAUGAAUUGUUGUAGGUAGAAAGGUCCAUCUGCAUUCAUGGGUGAGUAGUAGCAUGGUUAGUUAAAGGCAAACGAGUGUUCAAUCUGGAUUUAAAGGAGCUGAGGGACCAGCCGACCUGCAGCUUUCUGGGACUUUGUUCCUGACGUGGAGCGGAAUGAUCGCUGCAUCUCCAUGAUUGUUUGACUCUAGUAACAGAAAGUAGACCCGACCCAGACACCUUAGUGGCUCUUCAUACGGUGUCACCCUAAAAUAUUCUGUGCUAUAUUAUUAUAAUAUUCUAAUCCUUGAUGUAUUCUUUAGGGGAUCGCUGAUUUUGUAACGUCUCGAUGUGGCUCUUCAGGUUGAGGUCCGAAUCCUUAAUGACACGGAUAUUUCUGCCUUGGUUUGUGGUUUUUAACAUCAGUAAAAGCAAACAAAAACAGUGUUUGUGGCUGACUAUCAAAUCAUUGAUUAGAAAUGUUUUUCCUGACAGAGACCAUUUAUUUCGACAGGCAGAGGAAUGAAUGAAUGUUGAAUGAUAAAUUUGCGUAUUUACUAUUGUUACUUCACAGCUCAACCUUUCUUUUCCUAUUAACCAUCAGGACAGAAAUGAUGGAGAGCUGCAUCUUUCAUGGAGAGAAUCCUUGUCAUCCUUUUUCCUAGAUCCCAAAUAUAUCAAUCAUUACCUUCAUCAUUGACAGAAGGUUUUGACGCUGGUCUUGUUUAGACUCCUCUUAUCCUUGGCGAUACAAAAGGGUGGAAAAAUAAGUUUAAAAAGAUGUUUGUGCUCCUAAAAGAGGUCCAAAUUGUCAAAUGUAUUGAGUGGGUCAAUAUAUGCGGUUGAAAUCCAUUUGUUGAGUGCAAACAGCCUGUUGAAUCUUUCAUCUCCUCCUGACUGGUGGAGGAGGGACACCUCAGCACUAACAGAGCCGAGUGUUUAUCAGAUCAAUAAUGUCUCGCUUCAGAGCUUCCCGUAGGCA
ensembl:lncRNA